rnacentral:misc_RNA from 1 species
GAUGAAGAACGUAGCGAAAUGCGAUAAGUAAUGUGAAUUGCAGAAUUCAGUGAAUCAUCGAAUCUUUGAACGCGCAUUGCGCCCGUCAGUAUUCUGGCGGGCAUGCCUGUUCGAGCGUCAUUACGCCCCUCAAGUCCCCUGUGGACUUGGUGUUGGGGAUCGGCGAGGCUGGUUUUCCAGCACAGCCGUCCCUUAAAUUAAUUGGCGGUCUCGCCGUGGCCCUCCUCUGCGCAGUAGUAAAACACUCGCAACAGGAGCCCGGCGCGGUCCACUGCCGUAAAACCCCCCAACUUUUUAUAGUUGACCUCGAAUCAGGUAGGACUACCCGCUGAACUUAAGCAUAUCAAUAAGCGGAGGA